CCUACGGGAGGCAGCAGUGAGGAAUAUUGGUCAAUGGGCGCGAGCCUGAACCAGCCAAGUCGCGUGAGGGAGGACGGCCCUACGGGUUGUAAACCUCUUUUGCCGGGGAGCAACGGGCGCCACGUGUGGCGUCACUGAGAGUACCCGGAGAAAAAGCAUCGGCUAACUCCGUGCCAGCAGCCGCGGUAAUACGGGGGAUGCGAGCGUUAUCCGGAUUUAUUGGGUUUAAAGGGUGCGUAGGCGGAUCGUUAAGUCAGUGGGCAAAGUGAGGGGCUAAACCCCUUCCCGCCAUUGAAACUGGCGUUCUUGAGUGGAAGAGAAGUAUGCGGAAUGCGUGGUGUAGCGGUGAAAUGCAUAGAUAUCACGCAGAACCCCGAUGGCGAAGGCAGCAUGCCGGCUUCCGACUGACGCUGAAGCACGAAAGCGUGGGGAUCGAACAGGAUUAGAUACCCUGGUAGUC
rnacentral:rRNA from 1 species